GAUCAUGGCUCAGAUUGAACGCUGGCGGCAGGCUUAACACAUGCAAGUCGAACGGUAACAUAAAGAAGCUUGCUUCUUUGAUGACGAGUGGCGGACGGGUGAGUAAUGCUUGGGAAUCUAGCUUAUGGAGGGGGAUAACGUACGGGAAACUGUAGCUAAUACCGCGUAAUAUCGAAAGAUUAAAGUGUGGGACCUUCGGGCCACAUGCCAUAGGAAUGAGCCCAAGUGGGAUUAGGUAGUUGGUGAGG
rnacentral:rRNA from 1 species